AUUUGUUCAUGUACAUAGUUGUUUUUACAGAAAUAUAUGAAAAACAUUUUGCAUAUCUUAUAUAAAGCAAAUGUGGUUUAGUCAUUUCUGAAAGCACGGGCAAACCAGCCAGUUCUGUGGGGUUGUGUCUUUGUUGUAUUUUGGGGGGUUUAUCACAUCCAUCACGCUGAGAGGUGUAUUUGCCUUUUUUCUUCAAGCAGGAGUUUCAGCGUUAACCGUCUGCACACAUCUCAUUUGGGAGUUACCUUUGGGCUAUGUAUUCCCUCAAGUUUGGUCAACUGUGUCACCUUUUGAAAAAAAGAAGUCUGUGGGCCUGCAUUUAACAUAGAGCUUGAUAAGAAAAUUCUUCAAAGAGUCUAUUUGAUCAAGGCCUGAGUGUGGCUGUUCGGUAACAUCUGCCCAUGGCUGGGCAGGCUCUGCAUUCCUUCUGGGGGGCAAAGCUUUUGACAGGAAAAAUAAAUGUGAAGCAAAGUCUUUCUUCACGUUGAAGGACCAAUGCCAAAAGGAAUGGAGCAUUUUCACAGAAAUAAACAGAAGUCGAUGGAGGCGUGCACCAACCAAUAUAUUAUGCUUUCUCGGUAAGGAGGACAUAGGGCCUAUUUUGAGCCUUUAUUUGUCAAGAAGAUAAAUGCAUGUCACUGAGAAGAGAUGUAAGUAUCAUCCAGCAGUCACAACUCUGUAAGUACAAAGACUUGAAAGAUGUCUUCUCCAAGGCAUGCUGAUGUAGUUGCUACUAUGGAAGGCAAAUAAAAAGUGGAUAAGGAUCAGGGACUUGUUUAUUGGUGGCUUCAUGUACACAUUCACAUUCAACAUCUCUGAUACUCAAGAGCUAUUCUAGGAAUCACC
rnacentral:lncRNA from 1 species